AUGAACAGUAUGAAAAGGCCAAAUGAUAGGACACUGAAAGAGCAACUCCCCAGGUUGGUAGGUGCCCCAUAUGCUACUGGAGAUCAGUGGAGAAAUAACUCCAGAAAGAAUGAAGGGAUGGAGCCACAGCAAAAACAACACCCAGUUUUUCAUGUGCCUGGUGACGGAAGCAAGGUCCGAUGCUGUAAAGAGCGAUACUGCAUAGGAACUUGGGAUGUUAGGUCCAUGAAUCAGGGCAAAUUGGAGGAGAUCGGUCCUGAGUGUUCAUUGGAAGGACUGAUGUUGAAGCUGAAACUCCAAUCCUUUGGCUACCUGAUGCAAAGAGCUGACUCACUGGAAAAGACGCUGAUGCUGGGGAAGAUUGAAGACGGGAGGAGAAGGGGACGACAAAGGAUGAGAUGGUUGAAUGGCAUCACCGACUCAAUGGACAUGAGUUUGAGUAAACUCUGGGAGUUGGUGAUGGACAGGGAAGUCUGGUGUGCUACGGUCCAUGGAGACGCAAAGAGUCAGACAUGACUGAGUGACUGAACGGAACUGAAUCUCUUUACAACAGAGCCCUUAAGGAGAAGUCACUGGACCCAACGUAUGCCAUUGUACAGUCGUACGUUGAGGAAGCUGUAACCUGUACAACGAAGCCGCCCUCGUAUCAGGACAAAGACUCCCGAGUCUGUGCAGACUCAGUCAGCAAGCAGGGAUCCCCGUUCAGUCCUGGACGGUGCUUCCUCCAACUACAAGCCAGAGACUCACACGUCCGCCUGGCUGCAAGCGCAGACAGACAGAAGCAGACACCCGCAACAACCUUCCAACUGUUCAGCAUCGUCUACGAUAUGUCAUACAUCCUUACAGCCACACAUCCAUCAGCAUCAUGUUUCAAAAGCCUGGACUAGGGUCCAGUCAGAGAAGGCAAUGGCAGCCCACUCCAGUACUCUUGCCUGGAAAAUCCCAUGGACGGAGGAGCCUGGUGGGCUGCAGUCCAUGGGGUCGCUGAGAGUCGGACACGACUGAGCGACUUCGCUUUCACUUUUCACUUUCAUGCAUUGGAGAAGGAAAUGGCAACCCACUCCAGUGUUCUUGCCUGGAGAAUCCCAGGGAUGGGGGAGCCUGGUGGGCUGCCGUCUAUGGGGUUGCACAGAGUCGGAUAUGACUGAAGCGACUUAGCAGCAGCAGCAGCACCAGCAGCAGGCUCUAGUACGUACUUAGGCUCCAUGUAGCUAAUGGUGAAAUUUUAAUGUAAGGACAAUAAAAUGUGAAAACUGUAUCCAUGGUUAAAAAAAAAAGGCAAGAUAAACAUUUUUAUGGCCCCAGUGCCUUCCAGAAACAGUGGCGCCAACAAGUGCGUCUGGUGGUGUGAGAGGGUGAGAGUGGAGAAAACACUUACGAAUUAAAGACAAACAGAACCCAGCCUGGCCCAGGAAAGGCCUGGUGUCUCUAACACGUCUGGGUCAAGGUGGGUGGGGGGCUGUCUUUACACGUGGGUUACUGUCGCGGUGGCAAUGACAAGGCCGUUCCCAGCGGCUGCCCUGCGUCCUCAAGUGUGUGGUCCUGUUGCCAAGCUCUGCCCAAGGGCUCUCAUGCAGUCAGUGUGAGUGACCACGGUGGACGACGGGCUAUGGUCUAGUACUAAAUGUGUUCCCUGGUCUAAACGACAGUCUCACACACACUGCAACUAAGCUAUCCUUGGAGCAUACUGUGACAUAGGACACAACCAACCUCUACACACAGUAACCACAGGCGCUCAGAAGUCACUCUUGCUUUUGUCCACUCCCAGAGCCGAGCUUCAAGAUCAGAACGGGCUCUGUGGCCCAAGUCCCCCACCUUGGUUUCCCUGCAGCGACCGUGCAGAUAAUGACUGCUCGCUCCUGCCCCAGGACAGGGGCUGCCCUGCCCCAUCCGGCAUCCGCCCCCGGCCUCUUCUGGGGUCUCUAAGUGAACAGCCUGUGUCUCCUGCCUCUCUGGGUGCCCUGCCUGCCUUCUAUCAAAGUGCCCUGGGGCUUUCCCUCCCCAGGCUCCCUGCUGCCCCGUGAGGGUGCCGGGCACUCACUCAGUGGGUCACCUCUGUGCCCUCUCCACACCCCCAGGCAGAAGUCCAGCCCGGCCCAGCCCGACCCUUAGGGACUCUGGGCACUGAGAAAGCAGGCAGCCCCACCCCGGGCGCCAAGGCCUGUCUGCUCUGUGGGGCCGCACGGCGGCUGCUCACUGCUCUGUCCCCUGGGCAACAAUGCAGGUCAGGGGUUCCGUAUGGAGAGCUCCCAAAGCCCCUCAAGUUGCUAAGCCAGGGUCCCCAUGGACCUAAGCCCCCACGGCCGUGCAGGGUGAGGCCGCGGCUCCCCGGGCUCUGAGCCCAGCCGGCCCGCUUACCUUCCCCCUCGUGCAGGGCUUUCUGAUCCCCGACGGCCUCGGGCACCAGCUUUCCAUAGCUGUGCCCCUCACUGUUGGCAAACUUGACUGUGUCGAAAUACACGGACCCGUUUGAAGCGUAGCUGGAACACAAAGCCAGCGGGGAAGGCGUGACAAGCUGCCCGGCCGGCCAGCCUGGGGACGCAGAAGCCAUCGGGGUCUGCUCCACGCCCUGUGCAGUGGGCCGGCCAGCAGGGUGUUCCACUACGGCCACCGAGUGGGCCAAACGGGGCUGCGACGAGCAUGGCUGGGCCAGGGGCCGGGACAGGGCUCCCUCACUCCCCAACGGCCCGGCCCGUGCCCUGCCCCCUGCAUGGCGCCCUCGCCUCUGCCUGCCGGCCCUGACCCCCAGCACCUCGCUGUCUGACUGCAUUUGGAAAAGGGCCUUCACAGAGGGGCUCCAGUGAAAACGAGGCCUCCAGGGUGGGCCCUGACCAGCACAACCGGUGUCCUCAUAAGAAGAGGAGCUGGGGGCCCAGGGAGGGAUGAGGGGCGCGGGCCCUCACAGGACCGCUGCGGCUGCGUGGUGGCCCACCCAUCGCUCACGUGCCGUGCGGCUCUGAGACGGAAGCAUGGGCCACCACCACCCUGGCGGCCCCCCGUGCCUCCUUGCUCCUCUCCGAGCUGGCAGAGGGCCGUGCCCCUGGGCACACCUUCCUGGAGCCUCGAGCUCACCCGUAACCGUUGUCCACGAUCUUCUGGACAAAGUCCACGAUCUCGGGCACGUACUCACUGACCCGGGUCAGGACAUCUGGUGGGAGGACCUGGGGACGAGGCGAGGCCGGCUCCAGAAGCCCCAGCACCGCUGGGCCCCGGUGCCCCGGCCCUCCCCCACGCACCACCCCCACCCCUGCUGUCUUUUCAAACUGAAUUUGCACACACAGUGAAGAGGGUCUGGAUCCCGGGAGGACUUUGGUCACGGGGCCCUCGGCCCCAGAGACCGAGGUCACGACCGUCCGCGACACUUACGUUCAGGGCUUCCAUGUCUUUGUGGAACUCCGCCUCCCAGAAUUUGGGCAGUUCGGAGAAAAUAGAAUUGUCCGUCACCUCACUGCCGUGCAUGGAAUCCAGCCAGUCAGAAAGCACAUCCUUUGCUUCUUCCAGCAACACCUGAGGGAAAGGAAGCAGGAUGUGCACCCGCGUCCAAGCUCCAGGGCCCGCGGCGGGUGCAGUCUACGCGCGUCCGUCUCCGCCUCACGCGCACAGACUCGCCGAGCACGGCCAGCACCCGACCCGGGAGGAGACCCCAGAGCUCCCACGGAUGGCCUGGCCGUCCAGAGGCUGGAGCUCUGACCGCGUGCCCGGAGGGUCAGGGUGGGCCUGGGGAGGCCCAGCGGGGCGGGAGGGCACGCGGGGCCGUCACUGACGGCCUGGACGCCUGCUCGAGGGGAGGUUCAGAGCAGCGGACGGAGCCGAGGUCCAGNNNNNNNNNNNNNNNNNNNNNNNNNNNNNNNNCAGGUCUCCAUGCCCGGGCCACCCGGCCGGGCGCGUGCCAUCAGCUGAAGGCCCCACGUCACGGCCACAAUGGCACCGCGUCGGAGCGAGUCACGUCCCGUCACUGCGGUCCUCAUGUCACACCCGGAAACAGCCGUCUGAGACGCGGUGAGACAGCAUCAGGGCUGCACCCGAGCGGGCGGUGCCGUCACUGACGGCCUGGACGCCUGCUCGAGGGGAGGUUCAGAGAAGCGGACGGAGCCGCGGACCAGAGGCAGGGGCCACUCCCACCCCCCCCCCCCCCGACGCCGCGCGC
rnacentral:lncRNA from 1 species